GCAACCACGAGCGCCCUUUUUUUGGGCGAAUCACAUUCGCGAAUCGCGAAUAAUUCGCGAAAAAUUAUUUUUGACAAAAAAAACACAUUUUUUUCUAAAUUUUUCGGAAAAAUCCUAAUACGACUGUUUAAUUCGUUUCUUCAAAAAUUCGCGAAUUAUUCGCGAAUUAACUAACCAUGUUCACCACAACCACCACCACUACCACCCCGAGGCUCCUCUCC
rnacentral:lncRNA from 1 species